rnacentral:rRNA from 1 species
UACGAAAGGGGCUAGCGUUGUUCGGAAUUACUGGGCGUAAAGCGCACGUAGGCGGCUUUCCAAGUUGGGGGUGAAAUCCCGGGGCUCAACCCCGGAACUGCCUCCAAAACUGGAUUGCUUGAGGCCGUGAGAGGAGAGUGGAAUUCCGAGUGUAGAGGUGAAAUUCGUAGAUAUUCGGAAGAACACCAGUGGCGAAGGCGGCUCACUGGCGCAUUUCUGACGCUGAGGUGCGAAAGCGUGGGGAGCAAACAGG